rnacentral:rRNA from 1 species
UGGGGAAUUUUGCACAAUGGAGGAAACUCUGAUGCAGCGACGCCGCGUGAGUGAUGAAGAUCUUCGGAUUGUAAAACUCUGUCCUUAGUGAAGAUAAUGACAGUAACUAGGAAGCAAGCCCUGGCUAAAUACGUGCCAGCAGCCGCGGUAAUACGUAUGGGGCAAGCGUUGUCCGGAAUUAUUGGGCGUAAAGGGUACGUAGGCGGUUUAAUAAGUCCUAAUUAAAAGGCUAUGGCUCAACCAUAGUAUGGUUAGGAAACUGUUGAACUUGAGUAGAUGAGGGGAAAGUGGAAUUCCAUGUGUAGCGGUGAAAUGCGUAGAUAUAUGGAGGAACACCAAUGGCGAAGGCAACUUUCUGGAAUCAAACUGACGCUGAGGUACGAAGGCGUGGGGAGCAAACAGG